rnacentral:rRNA from 3 species
UGCAGAAUCCCGUGAACCAUCGAGUCUUUGAACGCAAGUUGCGCCCCAAGCCUUCUGGCCGAGGGCACGUCUGCCUGGGUGUCA